rnacentral:rRNA from 1 species
GAUCAUGGCUCAGAGUGAACGCUGGCGGUAGGCCUAACACAUGCAAGUCGAACGGCAGCACAGAGGAGCUUGCUCCUUGGGUGGCGAGUGGCGGACGGGUGAGGAAUACAUCGGAAUCUACUCUGUCGUGGGGGAUAACGUAGGGAAACUUACGCUAAUACCGCAUACGACCUACGGGUGAAAGCAGGGGAUCUUCGGACCUUGCGCGAUUGAAUGAGCCGAUGUCGGAUUAGCUAGUUGGG